rnacentral:rRNA from 1 species
UUCCUACGGGGCGCAGCAGUGGGGAAUAUUGCACAAUGGGGGAAACCCUGAUGCAGCGACGCCGCGUGAGUGAAGAAGUAAUUCGUUACGUAAAGCUCUAUCAGCAGGGAAGAAACACUGACCUUACGGUCAGCAGACGGUACCUGAGUAAGAAGCCCCGGCUAACUACGUGCCAGCAGCCCCGGUAAUACGUAGGGGGCAAGCGUUUUCCGGAUUUACUGGGUGUAAAGGGAGCGUAGACGGCAGCAGACGUCUUGAGUGAAAUCCCUCGG